GAAGUGGUGUGUUUCCCGCGCCGAGUGACUGAAUCCCGAGUGUAAACAGUCCGAGACUCUUUAACUGUCCGGUAACUGUUGUUGUUGCUGUUUUUGUUGGUC